rnacentral:rRNA from 1 species
CGCGUAAGAAUCUGCCCUCAGGAAGGGGAUAACAGUGGGAAACUACUGCUAAUACCCUAUAAGCGCAUGCGUAAAAGCCUUCGGGCACCUGGGGAUGAGCUUGCGUCUGAUUAGCUAGUUGGUGAGGUAAUGGCUUACCAAGGCGAUGAUCAGUAGCUGGUCUGAGAGGAUGAUCAGCCACACUGGGACUGAGACACGGCCCAGACUUCUACGGGAGGCAGCAGUGGGGAAUUUUCCGCAAUGGGCGCAAGCCUGACGGAGCAAUACCGCGUGGAGGAUGACGGCCUAUGGGUUGUAAAC